AACAAGGCGUACCUGCGGACCUGCGGAAGGAUCAUUACCGAGUUUACAACUCCCAAACCCCUGUGAACAUACCAAUUGUUGCCUCGGCGGAUCAGCCCGCUCCCGGUAAAACGGGACGGCCCGCCAGAGGACCCCUAAACUCUGUUUCUAUAUGUAACUUCUGAGUAAAACCAUAAAUAAAUCAAAACUUUCAGCAACGGAUCU
rnacentral:misc_RNA from 1 species